UACGAAGGGGGCUAGCGUUGUUCGGAAUCACUGGGCGUAAAGGGCGCGUAGGCGGCUUUGUAAGUCGGGGGUGAAAGCCUGUGGCUCAACCACAGAAUUGCCUUCGAUACUGCAUGGCUUGAGACCGGAAGAGGUAAGUGGAACUGCGAGUGUAGAGGUGAAAUUCGUAGAUAUUCGCAAGAACACUAGUGGCGAAGGCGGCUUACUGGUCCGGUUCUGACGCUGAGGCGCGAAAGCGUGGGGAGCGAACGGG
rnacentral:rRNA from 1 species